rnacentral:rRNA from 1 species
UACGUAGGGUGCGAGCGUUAAUCGGAAUUACUGGGCGUAAAGCGUGCGCAGGCGGUCUUGUAAGCCAGAUGUGAAAUCCCCGGGCUUAACUUGGGAACUGCAUUUGGGACUGCAAGGCUGGAGUACGGCAGUGGGAGGUGGAAUUCCACGUGUAGCAGUGAAAUGCGUAGAGAUGUGGAGGAACACCGAUGGCGAAGGCAGCCUCCUGGGCUAGUACUGACGCUCAUGCACGAAAGCGUGGGGAGCAAACAGG